UGUUCUCAACUGGCCACCUGGUUAAAUAAAGGUGUUCUCAACUGGCCUACCUGGUUAAAUAAAGGUGUUCUCAACUGGCCACCUGGUUAAAUAAAGGUGUUCUCAACUAGUCUACCUGGUUAAAUAAUGGUGUUCUCAACUGGCCACCUGGUUAAAUAAAGGUGUUCUCAACUGGCCACCUGGUUAAAUAAAGGUGUUCUCAACUGGCCUACCUGGUUAAAUAAAGGUGUUCUCAACUGGCCUCCCUGGUUAAAUAAAGGUGUUCUCAACUGGCCUACCUGGUUAAAUAAAGGUGUUCUCAACUGGCCUACCUGGUUAAAUAAAGGUGUUCUCAACUGGCCUCCCUGGUUAAAUAAAGGUGUUCUCAACUGGCCUCCCUGGUUAAAUAAAGGUGUUCUCAACUGGCCUACCUGGUUAAAUAAAGGUGUUCUC